rnacentral:rRNA from 1 species
AAGAGACAGCAGCCGCCGCGGGAAUACGGAGGGUGCAAGCGUUAAUCGGAAUUACUGGGCGUAAAGCGCACGCAGGCGGUUUGUUAAGUCAGAUGUGAAAUCCCCGAGCUUAACUUGGGAACUGCAUUUGAAACUGGCAAGCUAGAGUCUUGUAGAGGGGGGUAGAAUUCCAGGUGUAGCGGUGAAAUGCGUAGAGAUCUGGAGGAAUACCGGUGGCGAAGGCGGCCCCCUGGACAAAGACUGACGCUCAGGUGCGAAAGCGUGGGGAGCAAACAGGAUUAGAUACCCGCGUAGUCCCUGUCUCUUAUAC